rnacentral:tRNA from 1 species
GCCCGGGUGGCGAAAUUGGCAGACGCACAGCGUUCAGGUCGCUGCGCCCGCAAGGGCAUGGAGGUUCAAAUCCUCUCCCGGGCA